CCAAACUCUCUGAAGGCUGUCUCUCUUCCUGCCAGUGGACGGGGGAAUUAACCGGCUGAUUAUUUUUUCUUAUGCAAAUGCUCUUUGCAAAACAAAGCCCAGGGUAAUUUCUACAUCAGAUUUUUAAUGAAAUGCGCUGCCGCUUUGAAGUAGCACUGACGCCACUGAGUCAGGUCUGCUCCCUGCCCCCGUGGGGUGCCGGCCGCUCUCCUUCUCCUCCUGGACCCUUGAGCUGCACGAGAGCUGGUGCUCCUGACCCACA
rnacentral:lncRNA from 1 species